rnacentral:rRNA from 1 species
AUAUCGGAACGUACCUUUCAGUGGGGGAUAACGUAGCGAAAGUUACGCUAAUACCGCAUAUUCUGUGAGCAGGAAAGCAGGGGAUCGCAAGACCUUGCGCUGAUUGAGCGGCCGAUAUCAGGUUAGCUAGUUGGUGAGGUAAAGGCUCACCAAGGCGACGAUCUGUAGCGGGUCUGAGAGGAUGAUCCGCCACACUGGAACUGAGACACGGUCCAGACUCCUACGGGAGGCAGCAGUGGGGAAUUUUGGACAAUGGGGGCAACCCUGAUCCAGCCAUGCCGCGUGAGUGAAGAAGGCCUUCGGGUUGUAAAGCUCUUUCGGCCGGGAAGAAAUCGUGUGGGCUAAUACCCCAUAUGGAUGACGGUACCGGAAUAAGAAGCACCGACUAACUACGUGCCAGCAGCCGCGGUAAUACGUAGGGUGCGAGCGUUAAUCGGAAUUACUGGGCGUAAAGCGUGCGCAGGCGGUUUUGUAAGACAGGCGUGAAAUCCCCGGGCUCAACCUGGGAACUGCGUUUGUGACUGCAGGGCUAGAGUAUGGCAGAGGGGGGUGGAAUUCCACGUGUAGCAGUGAAAUGCGUAGAGAUGUGGAGGAACACCGAUGGCGAAGGCAGCCCCCUGGGCCAAUACUGACGCUCAUGCACGAAAGCGUGGGUAGCAAACAGGAUUAGAUACCCUGG